AAUAAUGGUUUGACUUUGAAGUUGAAGGAAAUCAAUAAAUCUGAUCAUUUAUGAGCAAGAUUAGAGUCUUCCAAAGCAUUAAAACUCUUCAUUGGAUGAUGGAAAAUCAGCAUGGAGUAAAGAGAAGUCAGCCUGGGAAAAAUGAAUUCAAAGAAGACUAGAAUCCCAAGUCAUUAAUUAGUCUUGAAUUCUAUUUUUUUUUUUAUUAGUUUCUAUUUUCAAAGUUAAUUUUAAGUAAUUUACUUUUGAAUUUCGUGCUUCCUAUGACCUAUAAAUAGGGGUGCAUUCUACU
rnacentral:lncRNA from 1 species